rnacentral:rRNA from 1 species
ACCAGCCAAGUAGCGUGCAGGAUGACGGCCCUAUGGGUUGUAAACUGCUUUUAUACAGGAAUAAAGUUAGCCACGUGUGGUUAUUUGUAGGUACUGUAUGAAUAAGGACCGGCUAAUUCCGUGCCAGCAGCCGCGGUAAUAA